GCAUGAUGAGUUCCUGUAUGAUGAGAGUUUAAAUUCUUACCACAGCCAUAUAUACAUGCUUGCUAGACUUCGAGCCACACAUUUACUUUUUACUGCUUAUGAGCAUUGAGUGUGGUCAAGCUGUGUAGACCCUUAGGAGCUUGUCAUGUGGUUAAAUCAAGAUUCACUUGCACGUUCACUCACACAUGCUACUUCCACUCUGGAAGUACCAUCCACAUAUAUCCAUACAUUUCUGUUGAUGCAAAAGCUGAUCUGCAAACACAAAGGGCUAAUACCCGAUUCAAACGUUAAGGCGUGCCAGCCGAUUUUACCUUACUAUCGGCAAAGGUGGUAACUCGAAUACUUUGGUCCUGACAACAGCGAUACGCCCGGAUGUCACGGCCAAGAGGUACUCACGCG
rnacentral:lncRNA from 1 species